GGACAAGGUCGUCAGAUCUCCAAGGGUCACACACCUCUUUGACAGUCACCUGGGGUCGUGUGGAUGUUAAAGAGUGAUACUUAUUCACACUGCCAAAUGUCUGCAGCAGGGACUCCUUGAAAGCGUUUGCUGAGGCUUCCGAAUGGAGAUGAAUCCCGACGGUGUGUCAGGGAUUUGACGGCGCUACACCACAAAAGCGGAAAGCCUGUGCACCAGCACCAACCGUGGAUGAACUGAGUCAAUGAGAUUUCAACGUUGCAAAUUGUGGGUGAGUCAGUGGUUUGAGGCCCUGAAAUCCUAUUGUAGCAGCUUGUAUUGUGCUAGGAGACCUGCUGUAGCAGAUUCAUUCACCUCUACCCACUACAGGUAGGGAGCUGAUUACUAGAGAGCCAGCAGCAUGCAGAUUCUCACUGUGGACACAGUUAAAGGGACAUGCCAGGGAUUAUAUUGGUGCACUCCGCAAAGGCUGAGCAUUCUAGAAACAUGCACCUUAAAAAGCUGAGCACUUUACCUGGCACUUAAAUUAUCUUAUCUUGCCUGUGCACACAACUGCCAACAGAGGAGAAUUUCUCACUGAUGGACAGUAGCAUCCCGUCCCAUUUUCAACUCCAGGGAGCAAAGAGGUCUUUCCUGUAAGGACACAUAAACCACCUCUGGCUGGAAAAAGAGCCCUCUUCCGGGGUGUCCUGAAGCCACAGCACACUGCAUAUAGCUCUUAAUCCGUCAUCAUGUGGCUGGGGGCAGUCUGGCGCAUGAAAUUGGCAUCUCCGGCAGGCGUGGCGACUUGCCCCUGUCAGCUGGUCGAUUUGCUGUACAGCCAUUAGGCUGCACCUCUGCAUCCAGCGGACAUGUGUCAGCUGAAUAACCUUUAAACUGAUCUGAGGCCUUUGCUGAACUGACAGCUGGCCCAAUGGGGCUUGACGGAAGCCAUCGCUGAUGCCACAAGGAUCAGUGAUCCAUUCCAAAACUUGAUUCUCCACCCUACACGUGGCUCUUCUUCUAUACAGCAAUGAAGAAGUUCAACGAUAUCACAUCCCUGCUCCUCGCCUAAGAUUAUUUGAGCUUCUGACUCUCCUCUUUAUCCACCAAGGCCAAUAAGAUGACGAGACAACUGUAAAUAUGUUUCAGAUGUGUUCCACGUCACCAAAGGAUGUUCAGGUAAGGACUUUUUUUUUUUUCUAUAUGCAAUCAUGCUACAAUCUAUGACCAUGACAAGUGCAACAGUUACCCUGUUUGGUUUGUUUCCUCUACAACAAUGACAGUGUUUGUUGUUUGUUCAAACCCACUGAAACAUCCCACCUGUGUGUUUAUGCUCAGUGGCAAUGCAGGAAGAUGUCUGACGUUUUUUAUCAAAUGGCAAAAAGUACUGUGUCCCAACAGUCAGCGUUUAUUCCCUUUAUCGAUGACUUCAACCUUCACUCAUCUUUCAACCUGAUACUGUGCAGUUUAUAAUGGAGCCACUGCAAUAAACCUUUCCAAGUGUCAACAUGUCUGCUGUGACAAAGCUCUAUCACUCUGCAUCUGUGCAUUUAAACGUUGGUUUGUCCUAUUUUACGUUUGUACGCGUGCUUGAAAUGAACUUGAAGCUAAUUAUUUUCAUUUGGUCUAACUAAUGUUAAUGUCUUAUGGGGAUUUUAGUAAUUCGUAGAAGCUGUAUGUACAAAUCAAACAGUCUCAUUUGUACUUGUGGAUUUAUCAAAAUCAUUUGCAUCAAUUACAGCAACAUAAUUACAAAUCAAUCGCAAAAUGUCUCUGAUUACAUGGUAAUGACA